rnacentral:tRNA from 1 species
GCACCUAGUUUACACCUAGAAGAUUUCAAAUAAAAUGACCACUUUGA